rnacentral:misc_RNA from 1 species
GAUGAAGAACGUAGCGAAAUGCGAUAAGUAAUGUGAAUUGCAGAAUUCAGUGAAUCAUCGAAUCUUUGAACGCACAUUGCGCCCGCUAGUAUUCUGGCGGGCAUGCCUGUUCGAGCGUCAUUUCAACCCUCAGGCCCCCAGUGCCUGGCGUUGGGGAUCGGCCGCUGGCGUCCUUCGGGGCGCCUGGCCGGCCCCGAAAUCUAGUGGCGGUCUCGCUGUAGCUUCCUCUGCGUAGUAGCACACCUCGCACUGGGAAACAGCGCGGCCACGCCGUUAAACCCCCAACUUCUGAACGUUUGACCUCGGAUCAGGUAGGAAUACCCGCUGAACUUAAGCAUAUCAAUAAGCGGAGGA